GUGCGACAGGUGUCUGUGCGCGCCCCGAGGAGUUUCUCUGCUUUUCAUCCAUCUUGAUGGGAGGAGGGCGAGAGAGAGAGAGAGAGAAGUGGGGGUGGGGGGUGGGGGUGAAGAAGUAUAAAAGCUUAUUCCUGUUCCUGACAAGAGUUCAGUGCGCGCACAAGGUGAGGCCAAACAAAGCCGUGCGCUUCCAUCACGCUCUUCCUUUUUUUCCUCUUCUCCUUUUUGAAAGGUCCGGCGCGGCGCGCAAAAGACGCGCCAGCUGUUGGGAGAGCAACCGUGCUGCAACUUGUGCGCAAUUUGGAGCGCAAGACUUUUGCCACGCUCGUCCGUAUUUGCUUCACGUUGAGCCCCACGUACAAUACCUGAAGGUGACGUUUUGUUCGUUCGGCUCGCGUUACGCAGGUACGGGUUGACGACUGGAAACGUCAAGUUUGAGUGUUUGCUGCGCCUCAGUGAUGUGGGAGUCCACCCCCCCAUCCCUUCAGAAUAAACCCUCACUUCAAUUUAAGAGCUGCAAAACAAGCUGUUGCGUUAACCUCAGGAGAAGUUGAUGGUAAUUUUUGCAUGAAGCCCAACGAUAACAGCUGUCAAACUUGUUCUACUUAGUGUGCGAGCACAGAAGAAUGCCAGCCAAUUUGAAUGUGUACACAUUUGACAAGGUUCAAAUAAAGAAAAGGAAAACUAGAAAUGUAUUUUAUUGACAGAAGGUGUCUACUGGGUCUUUAUUUUGUUGGGGGGGGGCUCAUAAAGGCAGGUGGACCGGUGGAGAGCGUGUCUGCCUCUCAGGCGAGAGGUUCUGCAUUUGAAUCUCAUUUGGAUGUCCCCACUUAUGUUUUUUUUCAUUUAUUUAUUUUUUAAAUGAUGUAUUCUCUGGAUUUCUUCGCAAAAUAUGCAUGCUAGUUUCAAUGAAGACUCAAUAUGGUCCAUAGGUGUGAAUGUGAGUGUGACCACAACCAGUCCAGGGUGUACGCCACGCCACCAGCCCAAAGUCAGCUGGGAUCGGCUCCGGUUCUCAUGUGAGGACAAGCACGAUUGAAAAUGUGGAUGGAAGUUU